GGGGACAUCGUAUAUCUGGUAAUAUAUUGGUUUUGCAUACCAAAGAGAAAAGUUCGAGUCUUUUUGUCUCCA